rnacentral:rRNA from 1 species
CCUACGGGUGGCAGCAGUGAGGAAUAUUGGUCAAUGGGCGCGAGCCUGAACCAGCCAAGUAGCGUGAAGGAUGAAUGCCCUACGGGUUGUAAACUUCUUUUAUAAAGGAAUUAAUUGAGGCACGUGUGCCUUUUUGUAUGUAUUUUAUGAAUAAGGAUCGGCUAACUCCGUGCCAGCAGCCACCGUAAUACGGAGGAUCCGAGCGUUAUCCGGAUUUAUUGGGGUUAAAGGGACCGUAGAUGGGUUGUUAAGUCAGUUGUGAAAGUUUGCGGCUCAACCGUAAAAGUGCAAUUGAUACUGGUAGCCUUGAGUACAGUUGAGGUAGGCGGAAUUCGUGGUGUAGCGGUGAAAUGCGUAGAUAUCACGAAGAACUCCGAUUGCGAAGGCAGCCUACUAAACUGCCACUGACAUUGAUGCUCGAAAGUGUGGGUAGCAAACAGGAUUAGAUACCCGAGUAGUC